rnacentral:rRNA from 1 species
UACGUAGGUGGCGAGCGUUGUCCGGAUUUACUGGGCGUAAAGCGCGCGCAGGCGGUCCUUCAAGUCAGAGGUGAAAGCCCAGAGCUCAACUCUGGAAUGGCCUUUGAGACUAGAGGACUUGGGUACGGGAGAGGUGAGUGGAAUUCCGAGUGUAGAGGUGAAAUUCGUAGAUAUUCGGAAGAACACCAGUGGCGAAGGCGGCUCACUGGCCCGUUACCGACGCUCAGGCGCGACAGCGUGGGGAGCAAACAGG